rnacentral:tRNA from 1 species
GCGCGUGUGGCGGAAUUGGCAGACGCACCAGACUUAGGAUCUGGCGGGUUUUCCCGUGUGGGUUCAAGUCCCUCCACGCGCA